rnacentral:rRNA from 1 species
AUUGAACGCUGGCGGCAGGCUUAACACAUGCAAGUCGAACGGUAACAUAAAGAAGCUUGCUUCUUUGAUGACGAGUGGCGGACGGGUGAGUAAUGCUUGGGAAUCUAGCUUAUGGAGGGGGAUAACUACGGGAAACUGUAGCUAAUACCGCGUAAUAUCGAGAGAUUAAAGUGUGGGACCUUCGGGCCACAUGCCAUAGGAUGAGCCCAAGUGGGAUUAGGUAGUUGGUGAGGUAAAGGCUCACCAAGCCGACGAUCUCUAGCUGGUCUGAGAGGAUGACCAGCCACACUGGGACUGAGACACGGCCCAGACUCCUACGGGAGGCAGCAGUGGGGAAUAUUGCGCAAUGGGGGCAACCCUGACGCAGCCAUGCCGCGUGAAUGAAGAAGGCCUUCGGGUUGUAAAGUUCUUUCGGUAGCGAGGAAGGCAUUUAGUUUAAUAGACUAGGUGAUUGACGUUAACUACAGAAGAAGCACCGGCUAACUCCGUGCCAGCAGCCGCGGUAAUACGGAGGGUGCGAGCGUUAAUCGGAAUAACUGGGCGUAAAGGGCACGCAGGCGGUGACUUAAGUGAGGUGUGAAAGCCCCGGGCUUAACCUGGGAAUUGCAUUUCAUACUGGGUCGCUAGAGUACUUUAGGGAGGGGCAGAAUUCCACGUGUAGCGGUGAAAUGCGUAGAGAUGUGGAGGAAUACCGAAGGCGAAGGCAGCCCCUUGGGAAUGUACUGACGCUCAUGUGCGAAAGCGUGGGGAGCAAACAGG